UCCUCUGUAGUUCAGUCGGUAGAACGGCGGACUGUUAAUCCGUAUGUCACUGGUUCGAGUCCAGUCAGAG
rnacentral:tRNA from 7 species